GACGAACGCUGGCGGCGUGCCUAAUACGUGCAAGUAGAACGCUGAAGGAGGAGCUUGCUCUUCUGGAUGAGUUGCGAACGGGUGAGUAACGCGUAGGUAACCUGCCUGGUAGCGGGGGAUAACUAUUGGAAACGAUAGCUAAUACCGCAUAAGAGUAGAUGUUGCAUGACAUUUACUUAAAAGGUGCAAUUGCAUCACUACCAGAUGGACCUGCGUUGUAUUGGCUAGUUGGUGGGGUAACGGCUUACCAAGGCGAGGAUACAUAGCCGAACUGAGAGGGGGAGCAGCCACACUGGGAGGGUGACACGGCCCAGUGGCCUACGGGAGGCAGCAGUAGGGAAUCUGGGGCAAUGGGCGGAAGUCUGACCGAGAAACGCCGCGGGAGGGAAGAAGGGUGUCGGGUCGUAAAGCACUGUUGUAAGAGAAGAACGAGUGUGCGAGUGGAAAGUUCACACUGUGACGGUAACUUAUCAGAAAGGGACGGCUAACUACGUG
rnacentral:rRNA from 1 species